GCGCCCAUCGUCUAGCGGUCCAGGACGCUGCCCUCUCACGGCGGAAACAGGGGUUCGAUUCCCCUUGGGCGUACCA
rnacentral:tRNA from 1 species